GCGGGCGUGGAGAAAUUGGUAAACUCAAGGCACUUAAAAUGCCUCGGCCUCGGCCUUGCGGGUUCAAGCCCCGCCGCCCGCACCA
rnacentral:tRNA from 1 species